rnacentral:tRNA from 2 species
GCGGGUGUAGCAUAACGGUAAUGCUCUAGCCUUCCAAGCUAGCUACGUGGGUUCGACUCCCAUCACCCGCUCCA